UCAAAUUCAAAUAUGCCGGAUACCGUUCGUCUUUUUUGUUCUCUCGACUGAAGGGCUGGCCGAGGGAGAGGAGCACAUAUAAACCUUCCCGGCAACAUGGGAAUGACCCCGGCCUUUUCCAAGCGAGCUGGGGGGUGGUGAGGCAAAAGUGAACAUGCCGAGAGAGCAUGAAAGUUGCUGUGGGCGUGCCUGAAGACAUUAUAAUCGCUUCGGGGGAAAGAUUUUCAGCGAAACGAAUUUGCCGCGUUACAUUAGAUAGAUGUUGUAGUAACGGCCUACCAAGACUACGAUCUAUAGCUGGCUUGACGCGAUGAUCAGGAUGACUGGGACUGACACAAGGCCCACACUCCGACGGGAGGCAUUAGUGGGGAAUGUUGGAAAAUGGUGGCUUGCCUGAUCCCACUCCGGGCGUGAGUGAUGAAGGGCCGUCGGGCUGAGAGUUCUUUCCCUUGUUAAGAUUAUAACUGUUUCAGGUUGUGAAGCCCAGGGUAAGCCCAUGCCCGCAACCGCCUGUUUCCCUACCGCCGUCAGCGUCCUGCGGAAUUACUGGGCUGCAAGAGCGCUGAUCGCGACUAUUAGGUCGUAGGAGAAAUCGCGGGGCUCAUCGCCGCAACUGCCUUUGAUACUGAUAGUCUUGAUUUCGCGAGAGGUACUUGAAUUCAGAGUGUCGAGGAGAGAUUCAUAGAUAUCCGGAAGAUCA
rnacentral:rRNA from 1 species